AUUGAACGCUGGCGGCAGGCUUAACACAUGCAAGUCGAGCGAGAGGCGGGCGGGUGAGUUAUGUCUGGGAAACUGCCUGAGGGAGGGGGAUCACUACUGGAAACGGUAGCUAAUACCGCAUACCAUCAGAUGUGCCCAGAUGGGAUUAGCUAGUGGGUGGGGUAAAGGCCCACCUAGGCGACGAUCCCUACCUGGUCUGAGAGGAUGACCAGCCACACUGGAACUGAGACACGGUCCAGACUCCUACGGGAGGCAGCAGUGGGGAAUAUUGGACAAUGGGCGAAAGCCUGAUGCAGCCAUGCCGCGUGUGUGAAGAAGGCCUUCGGGUUGUAAAGCACUUUAAGCGAGGAGGCGUUACCCGCAGAAGAAGCACCGGCUAACUCCGUGCCAGCAGCCGCGGUAAUUC
rnacentral:rRNA from 1 species